CUACGGGCGGCUGCAGUGGGGAAUAUUGGACAAUGGGGGAAACCCUGAUCCAGCAAUGCCGCGUGUGUGAAGAAGGCCUGCGGGUUGUAAAGCACUUUCGGUUGGGAGGACUGCUUCUAGCACUAAUAUUGUUGGAAGUUGACGUUACCUUCAGAAGAAGCACCGGCUAACUCCGUGCCAGCAGCCGCGGUAAUACGGAGGGUGCAAGCGUUAAUCGGAAUUACUGGGCGUAAAGCGCGCGUAGGCGGCUAGAUCAGUCGGGUGUGAAAGCCCCGGGCUUAACCUGGGAACUGCAUCCGAUACUGUCUAGCUUGAGUACAGGAGAGGAGAGGGGAAUUCCACAUGUAGCGGUGAAAUGCGUAGAUAUGUGGAGGAACACCAAUGGCGAAGGCAGCUCUCUGGCCUGAUACUGACGCUGAGGUGCGAAAGCAUGGGGAGCAAACAGGAUUAGAUACCCGAGUAGUC
rnacentral:rRNA from 1 species